AACGUGAAACUAUCACGAGGCUAAAGCGGAUGUACAUACGCAGCCGAACGGGGGGUCUCAUCUCCUCGCGCCUCCAGCGGUCGUAGCGCUCGGACCGUCGCCGUCCUUCCUCGCUUCGGCUUGGUUCCUGGGCGUAGUCGACGGCCGUCGCGACGGCGGACUCGGAGGAUAGGGGGGKGGAUUUCUCUCCCCAGUAGGCGGUCGCGGCCGCUCGAGAGUCGUCUAAGGCCCGGGAGUCGGGAACCGCCCGGCGGAGGCGAGCUCUGAGCUCGCAGCCGCUGGCGGGGACGCUCCCUCGAUUCUGGCGGACUCUCGGACGGUUGUAGAAACGAUAAACGGUGGCUAAGCAAAUCCCCGGUCGUACGCGGCUGGAACGCGAUCGUUCAUCCGUCCCGUCUUGAAACACGGACCAAGGAGUCUAACAUGUACGCGAGUCAACGGGUUGGCUAAACCCCAAGGCGCAACGAAAGUGACAAAAAUUGAGGACCUUCCUCUUUUGCAGGGUCGAUCCGGGCUCCCUACUAACAGUGGACCGGCGCAGACCCGGGGCUCGCCGCUACCUCUUCGAGACUCUAAGUCUCGUGGCGGGCGGCGGGCACCUAGAGCGUACAUGCUAGUACCCGAAAGAUGGUGAUCUAUGCCUGGCCAGGAUGAAGCCAGAGGAAACUCUGGUGGAGGUCCGUAGCGAUUCUGACGUGCAAAUCGAUCGUCAGAGCUGGGUAUAGGGGCGAAAGACCAAUCGAACCAUCUAGUAGCU
rnacentral:rRNA from 1 species